GCGGCGAGCUGGCAGAAACGUUAGCAUGCCGGGUGAAAUGCGUAGCCGUAUUUCGUCUGUCUUUACGUUCUGAGUUCAAAUUCCGCCGAGGUCGACUUUGCAUUUCAUCCUUUCGGGGUCAAUAUAUGAAGUACAAGUUGCAUAUUGUGGUCGAUCUAAUGGACUGGCCCACUCGCCCAAAAUAUCGGGCCUUGUGGCUAGAGUAGAAAAG